rnacentral:rRNA from 1 species
AGUCACUGACAUUAGACUACCCCGGUAGUCCCAGCCGUAAACUAUGCGCGUUAGGUGUACUGGUGGCCACGAGUCACCGGGGUGCCGAAGGGAAACCGUGAAACGUGCCGCCUGGGAAGUACGGUCGCAAGGCUGAAACUUAAAGGAAUUGGCGGGGAGCACCACAACGGGUGGAGCCUGCGGUUUAAUUGGACUCAACGCCGGAAAUCUCACCGGAUAGGACAGACAUAUGAUAGUCGGGCUGAAGACUCUACUUGAUGAUCUG